GGAUAGGUUUGCCUUGGACACAUUUGAUCCUUCCCUGAUUCAGGAAGCUAAGCAGGUUCAAUCUUGGUUAGCACUUAGAUGAAAGACCACCAGGAAAUAAGCUAGGAAAGAAUCCU
rnacentral:rRNA from 1 species